rnacentral:rRNA from 1 species
UGGCGGCAUGCCUUACACAUGCAAGUCGAACGCGAAAGGGGGCAACCCUGAGUAGAGUGGCGAACGGGUGAGUAAUGCAUCGGAACGUGUCCUGUAGCGGGGGACAACCCCGAGAAAUCGGGGCUAAUACCGCAUACGUCCUACGGGAGAAAGUGGGGACCGCAAGGCCUCACACUAUAGGAGCGGCCGAUAUCGGAUUAGCUAGUUGGCGGGGUAAAAGCCCACCAAGGCGACGAUCCGUAGCUGGUCUGAGAGGAUGAUCAGCCACACUGGAACUGAGACACGGUCCAGACUCCUACGGGAGGCAGCAGUGGGGAAUUUUGGACAAUGGGCGCAAGCCUGAUCCAGCCAUGCCGCGUGAGUGAAGAAGGCCUUCGGGUUGUAAAGCUCUUUCGGCAGGAACGAAAUGGUUCGUGUUAAUACCACGGAUUGAUGACGGUACCUGAAGAAGAAGCACCGGCUAACUACGUGCCAGCAGCCGCGGUAAUACGUAGGGUGCAGGCGUUAAUCGGAAUUACUGGGCGUAAAGCGUGCGCAGGCGGUUUCUUAAGUCAGAUGUGAAAGCUCCGGGCUUAACCUGGGAACUGCGUUUGAAACAGGGAGACUUGAGUGUGGCAGAGGGGGGUGGAAUUCCACGUGUAGCAGUGAAAUGCGUAGAUAUGUGGAGGAACACCGAUGGCGAAGGCAGCCCCCUGGGUUAACACUGACGCUCAUGCACGAAAGCGUGGGGA